ensembl:lncRNA
CUUCUACUAUGAAAGAGAAUGAUGCAUUUUACCAGUUAUUCACAUAGUUUCCUAUCUAUCCAUACUGUUAUUCAAUCACCAGCACUCUGCCAGUGCCAUCUGCAUUCUUUGAAUUCCCCUCAGUACAUACUCUGAAUUAACUUAAUUAUUAGGAAAUUAACUCUCAACGUUAGGAAAUCUCAUCAUCCUUCCACUCAUCCUCUACCUGACUACCAAUGAAGGCAUUAAGCACUGUUCCAUGCACCCAGCUCCCUCCCACUGCUAAUUCCUGCUUUUGCUGAGAACUGCUUGACUAUUUUCCACCAGAGAAGGACCUCAACCUCCUCCUGCUGCCUCUUCCACUUCCAGGCUCCCAGCCACCACUCUGCCCACAAAGCAAGCAGCAGCCAAGCAGCCUUCUGCUGACAUGGCUGGGUCUCUACAUCAUUCAUCACACAGUGAACUCUAGAUGCUGAAGACAGAUGGACCACCAGAUGGACCCUGGGAAGGAUUGGUUAAAAUGUCAGUGAUAAGCUAACAGAAUGAAAUGCAGUAGACUGAGGAGACUAUUCUGCUGAAAACCAUCUACUGAAAUGGGGUUUGUAUUAUUCACAUUCAUUAAAGCACACUUCAACUGUGCUGUUUUGACAUUUUCUGUUUCGAGACUUUCAAGUCAAGCAGCUCUGUGUUUGCUGUUUUGCUGAGGUUUUUUUCUUUUCCAAAUGGUUGUUUGAUGAUAGAUUUUCAAAAGUGACCCUAGCUCUUUAAGGCGAUUGCUUUGCCAUUGAGGAAUCUUGCCAUUGUUAUAUUCAGCCAUCAAACUUACAAGUACACCAAUUCAGACUCUGAAGAGCAAACUGAUGUAAGGAUGAAGAUUAUAUAAGGGACAGAAGUGAGUUAUUGCUUGCUUCUGGUAAACUCGCAUAACUUGCUUUCCAAUUCUUACCGUUCAUUUACCUGCAAUACUAAUUCCAACAACUUCUUUGGAUUAAGCCUUGAGAAUUUCAUUACAAACAUGGAAAGAAAUGCAUACACAUGGCAGUGUAUCAGCAGUAGGGAACAAGCUAAGACGGGUCAGGAAAGACUCCAGGCAGAAGCUUUGUUGCAAAACAGAAACACAAAAUAGAGAUUUGCCUGAUUUCAUGUGGUUCAUCAUUCAGCUGCUUGAUUUCUCCACUCUUCAUUUGCUUCACAAGAAAAAAAGCUGUUUCCUUCAAACUUGCAAUAUUAGUUAUGAUUCUGCACCAGUGCCACAUGGCUAGUCUACCCAUAACUUCAUAAGGGAUAUUCUGCAGUUUCAAGUACAAAUCAAUUGUCACAAGAUCAACAUCAAAAUAUCUUCUUUACUGAGUCACACUAUAAAUUCUAUCAUGAAUAUUGCCAUUCAAUGAUUCAUAAAUAAAAACAAACGUUAGCAUUGAGAGGUAUUCCUCUCUUACUUGAAACAAUUCCCA